rnacentral:rRNA from 1 species
CCUACGGGAGGCAGCAGUCGAGAAUCAUUCACAAUGGGGGAAACCCUGAUGGUGCGACGCCGCGUGGGGGAAUGAAGGUCUUCGGAUUGUAAACCCCUGUCAUGUGGGAGCAAAUUAAAAAGAUAGUACCACAAGAGGAAGAGACGGCUAACUCUGUGCCAGCAGCCGCGGUAAUACAGAGGUCUCAAGCGUUGUUCGGAAUCACUGGGCGUAAAGCGUGCGUAGGCGGUUUCGUAAGUCGUGUGUGAAAGGCGCGGGCUCAACCCGCGGACGGCACAUGAUACUGCGAGACUAGAGUAAUGGAGGGGGAACCGGAAUUCUCGGUGUAGCAGUGAAAUGCGGAGAUAUCGAGAGGAACACUCGUGGCGAAGGCGGGUUCCUGGACAUUAACUGACGCUGAGGCACGAAGGCCAGGGGAGCGAAAGGGAUUAGAUACCCGUGUAGUC